ACCUAUCGCUCCUCAUGCAGAGUCAUGUUACACACCCACAGCUUUGAUACGCCCACCCCAACACAGCUACAGACUAAAACCACUGGAGCAGCUGGUUUCUGUUUCUAGCGGUUCAAACUAUUUUGGGAAAAUCCAAGCUCACCCUUCCAGGGAAAAGGGAGGAAUUCUCUUUUUUUUCUCUUCUUCCUCAACCACAGAGAACAGAGCAGCUUCUAUCUACCGACCGCAAACACAUCUUUUUCUCUUGGAGCUGAUCCUCCUCCUAUAAGUAUGAAGGCAGCGGGGACGAGGAAUGUUUUUAUAACAAUGGCAGUAUGGAGACAAAUGCGAUUACAAUGACUACCCAUGCCUGGGCCUUUCUCAUUUAUACAUUAACCAUAUGUCGCAGCUAAUUCUCUUGGAGAAUGUGUGCUUGCGUGCAAACCCAGGGGCUCCACAUUCGCAGCAGUUUACGUUGGCUUUUGGGUCGAAUUGCUCGCAUGAAGAUACAUUUCUGUGGGUUCAGGAGGUUUAUGAAGGGCCAGGCUGCCUUCCCAACACGUCCGCUUUUAGGUGAGAAGUCCAAGGACUUAUGAAGCCUGGCACAAUGUGCUAACCACAUUAGUGAUGCCACAUUAGCAGCAUGAGCCCAUCCAUCCCCCUCUCUCUGUUUUCCACUGUAUACACCCUUCUUCCUCUUUUACAUUCCCUCCAUCUCGUACAGUCGUUCUCCCGUUAUGAUUUACUGUCCCUCACUAUCCAGUAACUCUUUUUUUUUCUCUCUCCCUCUGGGAAGAUUUAGGUAUGAGUCACUCAUGAAGGAUUCCAGGAGCCUCCGAGCGGUGCUACCCACUGAGGGAAAUGACCACGGGGAUCGAUCUGCCAACAAGCAGAUCGAUCGCUAAAAGAUUGUUUCCCACACACGCUGGCACAGACCGGACUAUUCACGGAGAUGUCCUAUUACUCUUGCGGCGAUAAAGGAAUGUGAACAGUUCAACUGCUUAGAUUGGAUUGUCCGAGCUUGUAGUCUUUAAGAUGAGUGUCACUGUCACGCCAACAUUUCUGAUUACAUAAUGUAAAAAAAUAUGGAUAAGAUUCAAGACAGAACAAUGACAAAAGUUAGACAAAAGGCUGAGGAUUAUUAAUAACAUUUUCCCACAGUCGCACGACAGCUAUAGAAAGAGUAAUUAGGCGGAGGAGAUUGUAAUCUAUUUUAGCAUGUAGAUAUGAAUAGUAGGAUAAUUGGGUCCCAGAGAUUAUGGAAAUAAAACGAGAGCGAGAGCUAAAUGAGAAAAUAUGUUCGGUUUUCACAUUCCCCCUCUGUCUCUGCAGAGACACCUGAGCCUGCCAGCAGCACGCUCACAAAGAUUCAAAUCAUUUUUCAUGCAAAUUGCGGGUUUUUACGUCAGCGUGAUGAUUCCGUGCUGGUGACGGGGAGCAUGCAUAAGCAUGUGAUUAACAUUUAAAGAGAGAGCUGGAGAGCCAAGUGGUCACCACAUGAAGCUGCUCGUCUGAUCUCCAGAGGUUUGCUGCUGGAUGCACACACAUCUCCGGGUGUGUUUAGAGGAAAGCACACUCCUGAAUGGCCUGUGCAUCAACAGCAACAACACAGCAUAUUUUCACUGUCUGUUUAUCUGCAAGCCUUUCUCCAGCUCUCCUGUAUGUCACUUCAAGGCAGUAACCUGAGGAGCCCAUCACGCCGAGUGGAUCAAACACAAAUGGCAGGAAGCGGUGCCAGAGCGGCAGCGCGUGGGGGCCACACGACCUGGCACACAACUGUCACGACGACGCAGCUAUUCCAGUGAAAAGACGGAGGGCGCUUCAACUGACGUCACGGUGGUUUGAGUCAAGAGCAGAGGCUUGAUGAAAACUCAUAUUCCACCCCAGAGCCACAUAGCAGAAACUUGACCUAACUUGCUCGCCUUCAAUCAGCAAGUCCCAUCUGGCUUCCGAGCACCUGAGGAAUGUGGCCUACCUUUAGCAAAAAAAAAACCACGACACCGAUGCGGAACUAAAUGUUCUGUAGCUCCUGAGAAAUGUGUCAUUUUCAUGUGUAAUGCUGUAAGAAGAAGUGCUGCUGAAUUAUGCAGAGAACAUGAGGAAAUGUUUAUUUUCUCCAGCUCACUCACAGCUCUCAUUGUGCUCCUUCUGUUAGGUGUUUGCCUCAUAUUGUUAUUGGCUUCUGUUCAGGCCUCACGUCCUGGUAACCCACAUACCAUGUGUGUGCAUGUCAACAUUUCCCAAAGCUAGGGCAUUGAUGGAAAAGUUUUUCACCUACGCUCUCUGUUUACAUGGAUAACAGUGUUUCGCCUUGUGUAAGUAAUGCCAUCAGUUUGCACAUGGCUGGCUUCUGAAUGUAAGCAGAUCGAAGGGAGAAAUUACACGGCAAAAACGCGUAUAACAUAAGGACGAGUGUCUCCUCUUUCAUUCACAAUGUAUUCUCGUAGCCGAUAUUAAAAAAGGUGCAAUAUGUAGUUUUGGGGAAGACAUUUUGGUUGGAAGAAAAAGAAAGAAACUAAAUAAACUCUCUUUGUUUUCAUGACAGAGUACACUGAAGAAGCAAUCUCGUGCUGUUUUACUGUUUAUAUUUGGCGGACCCUGCCACCUUUUCUAGCUCCGAACAGUGUUCAGGAACCUUGUUAUCCUCAGAGAUCAGCUUGUUCAUUCAGUUGAAGAAAAGGUUACCAUUUCUGAGUUUAAUUUUUAUUGUCAGCAUUAAAAAUCUGAGUUUGGAUUUAAUCUUCAAAAAUGACACAGUGACCCUUUAAAGGAGAUAUGUCAGUUUACCAAAAUAAAAGCCUGUGGUGGAGCCUUUUCUAAUUGCAUGUCACCGAUAUUUUUACUCCUUCAUUAUAGUCAUUUCCUGUGUUUGUUACGCAAGAUACUUUUUUUUAAAAUCAGUCUUACUCUUGAACUUGACUCGAGGACAACACAUAUUGGCUUCCAGACACAGAAAAAGCAGAUCAAUUCAGCCACUCCUUAACUUCAGAAAACAAACAAACAAAACAAAACAAAAAACAAGGGUUGCACCUUUAAAUACCCUAAAAUAACUUGACUCAACAAACUUUUCAGCCAACAGUUACUCCGGCCUGGCCCCCCUCAUGACCCAUGGGCCUUUUUUUCUCACUGGGGCUAGACAAGAGGAAAUGUGGCAUUGUUGGAAGGAUUUAGUCAAUACAAAUGGUCUAUAGUGGCGACUGAAUGGAUCCAAUGCCAACAAUGGAGAGAGAGAGAGGGGAGGGGGUAGAAAAGGAGAGAGUGGAAAAAAAAAACCUAACGCGUUUUAAUCCUGACAACAAAAAUGGUACAUAUCUGAAGUUAAAACACAAACUGGCUGUUAAUUUUCAGAUAUCCAGGCUGGUUUCCUUCAUUUUUCUACCGUUGCGGUGCGUUCACUGACCCAGAGUUGACAGUUGGGCUGUUAGCACAGGAGGGGAGUAUGCUAGCGAUGCGGAAUUGAAACUCCCCAACAGUUUAUAGCUGACAACAAAAUACAAAACAAUUCAAAUAACCGACACCAGUAUGAGCAUUCACACUGUUGCCCCAGUGUUGUAGGCGAAGUUCGUCCA